UCUUCAUGUCCACCAUGCCACCUGUCGUCAUUUGGAAAGGGUCAUCCUGCAGAAAGCACACAGCUUAGAGGAAGCAUCUAGAAUAGCCGCAGCUGAGUUAGUGAUCUUCUUUUCCCAGGAACUUCUAACACUGUGACUGAUCAUUCACUGGGCACUACUUCCCCUAUACAUUUUGAGGGCGGCAGCACUGAGCAAAAGAAAACAAAGACACAAAGAGAAAUGACACAGAGACAAGGAGGAAAUCAAUGUGCUGGCUAGUUAUUUUGUCAACUGACACAAGCUAGAGUCAUCUGGGAAGAGGAAACUUCAACUGAGAAAAUGCCUCCAUCACACUGGCCUGUAGGCAAGCCUGUAGAGCAGUUUCUUAUGAUUAGUGUGUGCAGGGCUCCCUCCCCUGGGUAUGUGGUCCCGUGUUGUAUAAGGUAGCUGAAUGUAAACCUGGGAAGCAAGCAAUAAGCAGUGUUCCUCCACGGUCUCUGCUUCAGUUCCUGCCUCAGGUUCCUGCCAUGACUACCCCCAAUAACUGAAUGCGAUCAAAAUAUGUACACCAAAUAAACCUUUCCUCUGCACGUUGUUUCUGGUCAUGGUCACAGCAACAGGAGGCUAACUGGGACAAUCAGGUUUGCAGGCUGGAGUACUGAGGGUAGGUAGGAAGGUAGCUGCAAAAGCCAAAGAA